AGUGAACGCUGGCGGUAGGCCUAACACAUGCAAGUCGAACGGCAGCACAGUAAGAGCUUGCUCUUACGGGUGGCGAGUGGCGGACGGGUGAGGUAUACAUCGGAAUCUACUUUUUCGUGGGGGAUAACGUAGGGAAACUUACGCUAAUACCGCAUACGACCUACGGGUGAAAGCAGGGGAUCUUCGGACCUUGCGCGAUUGAAUGAGCCGAUGUCGGAUUAGCUAGUUGGCGGGGUAAAGGCCCACCAAGGCGACGAUCCGUAGCUGGUCUGAGAGGAUGAUCAGCCAGACUGGAACUGAGACAGAGUCCAGACUCCUACGGGAGGCAGCAGUGGGGAAUAUUGGACAAUGGGCGAAAGCCUGAUCCAGCCAUACCGCGUGAGUGAAGAAGGCCUUCGGGUUGUAAAGCCAUUUUGUUGGGAAAGAAAAGCAGCAGGUUAAUACCCCGCUGUUCUGACGGUACCCAAAGAAUAAGCACCGGCUAACUUCGUG
rnacentral:rRNA from 1 species